rnacentral:rRNA from 1 species
UCUUUAGUUUUUAAUUUAAGAUCGGGCCUGCCCAUUGAUUAAUAAAUUAAAAGGCUGCGGUAUUUUAACUGUACGAAGGUAGCAUAAUCACUUGUCUUUUAAUUGGAGGCUAGAAUGAAUGGUUUGAUGAAAAAUAAACUUUCUUUUUUCAAUUAUAAUUGAAUUUAAUUUUUUAGUUAAAAAGCUAAAAUUUUUUUAUAGGACGAGAAGACCCUGUAGAAGUUUACUUAAUUAAUAAUUUUUUAUUUUAUGAUUUUAAAAUAAUUUUUUAUAUAUUUAAGUUUUGUUGGGGUGACAUUAAAAUUUAUUUAACUUUUAUUAAUUUUUUCAUUAAUUAGUGUUUUUUUUGAUCCAAAAAUUUUGAUUAUAAGUUUAACUUACCUUAGGGAUAACAGCGUAAUUUUUUCGGAGAGAUCAUAUU